rnacentral:rRNA from 1 species
UACGGAGGGUGCAAGCGUUAUCCGGAUUCACUGGGUUUAAAGGGAGCGUAGGUGGGUCGGUAAGUCAGUGGUGAAAUCCCCGAGCUUAACUUGGGAACUGCCAUUGAUACUAUCGAUCUUGAAUACUGUGGAGGUCAGCGGAAUAUGUCAUGUAGCGGUGAAAUGCUUAGAUAUGACAUAGAACACCAAUUGCGAAGGCAGCUGGCUACACAUAUAUUGACACUAAGGCUCGAAAGCGUGGGGAUCAAACAGG